UGCAAGGUCGUUCUGCUUACGGUC
rnacentral:miRNA from 1 species